AUUGUAACUUCGCGGGGGCGGAUUGCGGAAGCUGGGAAAGCAGGUCGCGGCUCUCGCACCGCAAAUUUCACAAAUCGACCUCGCAACAUUACUCCUAUUGCCCCAGCGUCCUUCCCCGCAGCUACACCCCUUCUCACGCGAACCCCCUGCGCCACUUCUUCCUCGACUAAAAAAAAUACCGUGCCUCUUCUUCCUCGACCGAAAAACAACCGAAUUCAGACGGUUCGGCGAUUCUCUUGACGGUGUUGAUCGAGAAUGAAGAACGUCAUUUGAGGGCAGUCUAGCACGAGAGCUGCAUCGUGAAGCGUCGCUCUUCUGCCGAAAACUAGCCGCCGCUCCUCUGCCCUACCUCCGCUGCUCCUGUGCCAAAAGCCAAGCGAGAACUUGAAGACCCACAACUGAAUAGGA